rnacentral:rRNA from 1 species
AACGAACGCUGGCGGCAUGCUUAACACAUGCAAGUCGAACGAGAACCCCGGGCCUAGUGGCGCACGGGCGAGUAAGGCAGGGGAACCUGCCCUACGGUUCGGAAUAACUCCCCGAACGGGGUGCUAAUACCGGAUAAUGUCUAUGGACCAAAGAUUUCUCGCCUUUGGUUGGGACCGCGUUGGAUUAGCUAGUUGGUAGGGUAAAAGCCUACCAAGGUGACGAUCCAUGGCUGCUCCGAGGGGAUGACCAGCCACACUGGGACUGAGGCACGGCCCACACUCCUACGGAGGGCAGCGGUAUGGUGUAUAAGGCAAUGAGCGAAAGCCUAAUCCAGCAGUGCCGCGUGAGUGAUGAAUGCCUUAGUAUUGUAAAUCUCUUUUACCCGGGAUGAAAAUGACAGUACCGGGAGAAUAAGCACCGGCUAACUCCGUG